rnacentral:misc_RNA from 1 species
UUUCCGUAGGUGAACCUGCGGAAGGAUCAUUAAAAAUGUCUAGCCAUUGUUUGUGUGAAACAAUAAUCAUCCUACCCUUGUGAAUUUGUUGUUUGUCAAUAAUUUUUUAAAAAGACCUUUUUUAAAACUAAACUUUUUGUAUUCAUUUGUCUAAAAAUUAUUUUUAUAAUAUAAAAACAACUUUUGACAAUGGAUCUCUUGGUUCUCGCAACGAUGAAGAACGCAGCAAAAUGCGAUAAGUAGUGUGAAUUGCAGAAUACGUGAAUCAUCGAAUCUUCGAACGCAUAUUGCACUUUUUUAGUUUACUAAAAAAGUAUGUCUGUUUGAGUAUCAGUAAAAUAUUCUCAUAAAAAACAUUGUUUUUUAUGGUUAUGAGUGUUUUACAACGAUACAAGUUGUUUCACUUUAAAUUUUUUUAAAAUUUGAAUUUUUCUAAUUUUAAAAUAAAAUUGGAUAAAAUUUUCCCGUAAAAAGGAAUAACCUAAACAAUUUUAAUUUUUGAUUAGAAAAUCCAAACUAAAAGGAAAAUUUAACUAAAUAACUUGAUCUCAAAUCAGAUAAGAGUACCCGCUGAACUUAAGCAUAUCAAUAAGCGGAGGAAAAGAAACUAACAAGGAUUCCCUUAGUAACGGCGAGUGAAGCGGGAAGAGCUCAAAUUUGAAAUCUUCAAGGUUUUACCUUGACGAAUUGUAGUUUAAAGAAGUGUUUUCUGUUGAAGUUUUGGUAAAAGUUCUUUGGAAUAGGACAUCAUAGAGGGUGAGAAUCCCGUAUUUGACCAUUAUUUUCAGCUGUGUGAUACACUUUCAAAGAGUCGGAUUGUUUGGGAAUGCAGUCCAAUAUGGGUGGUAAAUUUCAUCUAAAGCUAAAUAUUGGCGAGAGACCGAUAGCGAACAAGUACCGUGAGGGAAAGAUGAAAAGAACUUUGAAAAGAGAGUUAAACAGUACGUGAAAUUGUCAAAAGGGAAGCGUUUGACACCAGUGUUGUUUUCUCGAAAAUCAAUUAAAAAAAGUUGGAUUUUGUGUUGUAUUGACCUUAACAGCUUGCUUCACUCUUUUCCUGCUUUUUUUAAUGCACUUUUCGUUUAACAAGUCAACAUCAGUUUCUUUUGUUGUAAAAGGGUCAUUGGAAGGUGGCUUUCUCUUCGGAGAAAGUGUUUAUAGCCUUUGAUCUCUGCAAUCGGAGAGACUGAGGUCUGCAGCGUAGAUCCUUCGGGGUUAGAUACAUUUGUGCUAAGCUACAGCUUUUCAUAGACAACUUGUUGACUAUGUUUAGUCUUGUGACUUACCCGCUUAUGCUAUUUUACCUACGCUUAGGAUGUUGAA